rnacentral:rRNA from 1 species
GAUGAACGCUGGCGGCGUGCCUAAUACAUGCAAGUCGAGCGAAUGGAUUGAGAGCUUGCUCUUAUGAAGUUAGCGGCGGACGGGUGAGUAACACGUGGGUAACCUGCCCAUAAGACUGGGAUAACUCCGGGAAACCGGGGCUAAUACCGGAUAACAUUUUGAACCGCAUGGUUCGAAAUCGAAAGGCGGCUUCGGCUGUCACUUAUGGAUGGACCCGCGUCGGAUUAGCUAGUUGGUGAGGUAACGGCUCACCAAGGCAACGAUGCGUAGCCGACCUGAGAGGGUGAUCGGCCACACUGGGACUGAGACACGGCCCAGACUCCUACGGGAGGCAGCAGUAGGGAAUCUUCCGCAAUGGACGAAAGUCUGACGGAGCAACGCCGCGUGAGUGAUGAAGGCUUUCGGGUCGUAAAACUCUGUUGUUAGGGAAGAACAAGUGCUAGUUGAAUAAGCUGGCACCUUGACGGUACCUAACCAGAAAGCCACGGCUAACUACGUGCCAGCAGCCGCAGUAA